CCAAUAUUCACAAGAUGAAGUUUGGAUGAAGAGCAACACAAGAGGGUAUAAAACACUGUCACAUUUUUUCAUGCCAGCAAAUAUUUCUUCCUCGUAUUAUUUCUUUAAAUAGCUCUUCACAAUAAGCAACCUCGGGGAAUAACAAGUCCGAAAAGAAGAACCGGGCCAAGCACAGGUAUUUAAUAUCUAUCCACCCACCUACCCACCCGUCUGUCUCUUUCCUCUCAUUACAUUUAAUUAUAUUUUUAUGAGUAUUACCAAAUUAAAAAAAUUAUUUAUUAUGCCCCCAGUACAUGUGCCCAUAGGCAAUUUUGACCUAUUUUGCUCCAUUUCCGCUCCUAACAGAAAUUCAGCGCAUGAUUUAUUAAUAAGACCCUGUUUGCUCUGAGUCGUCGUUUUAUCUCCCAAAGAGUACGUAGUAGGAACAGUUGAGCCUGCAAGGAGAGGGUGUUCCUGUGCCUUUCCUGGAGUACAGCGGCUGGCUACUGUUGAGAAUCUUCGUGUGCGGUUACCGAUGCAAUGUGUGCCUGAAGUCACUGCCCGAUCCUGCCACAUAGGGAAGUGUGAGGAAAUGUCAGCCCAUGGCCGAGUCUCUGCGUCACCACGGCCCCGGAUAGCAGUCUCCCCAAGCUUUGCUCAUUUUUCAAAAUGCCCAAGGAGAGCGAGGAGAGAAAACAAGAAUCAGGGAAAAGGAUGCCUGGAAUAAUCUAACUUUCAGUUAUGUCAUAUUACAACCCAUAAUAAUAUAAGUGUAAAGGACAUUGCAAUUUCUCCAGGAGAUUAAUAGGCAUUUGAGGGCCUUUUAAGAAAAGAAUAAUGUUUGAUCUAAUGCCCCCAAACAGUAGGAGAUACUGUAACUCAGUGUUGGGCCAAAUGCUUCAUCUGAGCUCUGCACACUUCACGGUGAGUCUCUGACUUUUACAUUAAUUUCCAUGAAUGGCCACGCAGAUCCCGUGUUUUAAAUCCUCGUGCAGACCCGGAUGAAAGUGAACACUAGCUCCUAGAGUCACCUAGUCCUUCUCUGUGGAAUCAUUUCUAAUUGAAUGUUAAGAUCAAAGUUUAAGUUUAUAAGAAAGAAAAACAAGUGCAGAUAAAUAGUUAUUAUCUGACACCCUUAUGAAAAUUCAUGACCUGCACUUUUAUCAGAGACCUUAUAAGAAUUCUAAUUGUGAAGUAUGCGGAGCCAUUAAAUGGCGAGUACGCUUCAGUCUCUUGAUAAGAAGUGAGUUAAAUAAUUGUCCUGUUUAACUUGUGCUUGUUAACCUUUAAGGUCAACUAGUUUGAACAUACGUUUAAUGAAAUCCUGGAGCCAGAAUUUAUGAUACUGCUGCCGAAUGCUAAAUUGGACAAUUUACAUAAGCAGGACAUUAACCUUCUGAGCACUAAAUAGCAUUUUAGCACUUAGCCGCUGGGGACAAUAAGGGACAUGUUCUAUAUAUUUGUGAUUAGCUUGCCUGGAAACUCUCAUGAUGACCAAUUGGCCUACCAAGUUUAGCAGCAUAAUUAAAUGAAUGGACUCAGCCUAAGUAAAUUAUCAGUGCUGUGUACAGUAUAUCAUUAUAGUCCAAAGGAAAAAAAAAGAUAUGAAUAAUUUAAUAAUACAUUACUAAUUUAUCAAUGCUAAGUGACUUUGAGGAGGCUCUUUGCAGUUCAUUGUUUUAAAUUUGAUAUUUGAUUUAUUGCUCGCGUGAUUAAAAUUGAGCCUGUUUCAUUUCUUACUAGAAGUAUAUAGAAGCAGUAGAUUUUAUUUUAUUUCAUUUCAUCUCAUUUCAUUUUAUUGAGGUGAGACUGGUGGUGUUUCCUGCUUUGGUGAUAUUACAAAAUACCUCCUACUGUGCACUGAUUAGCAGGUAAACUAGUAAUUUGUCACAAUCAGAUGUAUGCAGUCCCUACUACUUGGUAGCCUUCCUGAGGGGAGGGCACUAACCCCUGAGUUGUUCAUAAGUCCAGCUUGCAACACAGUGGCAAUUAUCAUUAUGGUUUGGAAGGGUCAAGCACCAGGGAAGGCAAUUUGCGCUUCACCUACAAAUGCUGCUGCUGAUUGUGGAUAAUCAAUCCUCUGGGCCGACUCUCCCGGAGUUGUGCUCUGUAAACUCAGUCUAACAUUAGGGCGUAUUGAACUUUAAUGGCCAAGUACCUGUGUGGGGAAAUAGCAUUCACCCUGAAGUCGGCUGGGGCCCCUGCCCCUUACUCUUCUAAGAUAAACCUGAGCCGGAUCUCAAUCCAUGGGCGUCCUUGGGUUUUUACUUCCUUGUGCUUCUCCCUCUGGGUCUGCCUCUCAUGCUCCCUGCCUCCGUUGUCUUGAGAGAACCUGUGAAUGUUAUAGUUAGCCUUUUUACUGGCUUCCCCCAAACUCUGUUCACCUUCGCCAUUUUGUUGUUUCAGUGACACAUGGUGCGGCAGGGUCACAUUGCUGAGCCCCCGACCUUUUGUUGGUCUCAACCUUCAUCCUUCUCUCUCUCCUCUUCACCUUUUUCAAAGGAGCAAGACUGUUUCUCUCUGUCUCACCAAGGUCCCUCUCAGGUUUGGUUCUACCCCAAAGACUCAUUCGAGUAUUUCUCCAAACAAAUAUUUUCCUCUAAAAGGGAAGUCAUGAAUAUUUUCACAUCUAGUUGCAAAACAAUAGGAAUAUGGUACUAAGUACAGUGAGUAUUUGGCAAGUAUUUGGUUGACCCCUCAACGUAGUCCGUCAAGCUACCCGUGGUAAGUCUCGCCUUCCUGACUGCGUGUCUUUCCAGACAGGACCAGAACCUACCUCACCACGUAACCACAACAGCAACAACGACAACAAUUUUUUAUACUUUGGAGACUGCUUUACUGUGUAUUAUCUCUCAGGAACUUGUAGAUGUAGAGUGGAUACUGUGAUACCAAUUUCUCAUAAAUGAAAUCGUUACUGAAAGAGAGAUUAAAUACCUUGUACAAAAACUCUGCCCUGCUAGCUUAUGAUAGAACCAAAUUUAACAUUUUUAUCUGUUUCCAAGGCCAGUGUUUCUGGAUUAACAUGGCCCAUGUGCUCUAACCAUUGUUCAGGUCAAUAAACAUUGAACCUGUUAUUUUUUAUUAAUGUUAAAAUAAUCUUAAGUAAUUCAUGCACAUGACACAAGGAACAAUACCAAUAAUUAUACAUUAAAAAGUAGUUUUGGGGUGCCUGGGUGGCUCAGUCAGUUAAAUACCCGACUUCGGCUCAGGUCAUGUUCUCGUGGCUUGUGGGCUCAAACCCCACAUAGGGCUCUGUGCAGACAGCUUGGAGCCUGAGAUUCAGCGUGGAGCCUGCUUCAGAUUCUGUGUCUCCUUCUCUCUCUGCCUCUACCCCACUUGCUCUCUGUCUCUCUGUCUCUCUGUGUCUCUCAAAAAAAGGAGCCUUUCCCUUUUCUCUGAAUCAGACACCCCCUACAGAGACAAUUAAUGUCAGAACCUUGUAGAUCCUUCCAAUGAUAUUAUAUUUCAUGUAAGUUUGGGUAUCUAUCCUUUAAAAAAUAUUUGUAACAUUACCAGACAUAUUACUUAACACCCGGAUUUUGAACUUAACAAUACAUCUUAGUAAUUGAUCUGUAUUAGCACAUACGAAUCUACUUAAUUUCUUUUCAUGGUUAUAUGUAUUCUAUCACAUAUAAUUGUCAGAAUGUAUUUAUUCCUUUGGUUCCAUACAAGUGUUUUUUCCUAUUAUAAACUGUAUUAAAAUCUUUGUAAUACAUAUUGGCAUACAAAUUCAAGUUUAUCUAGAAGAUUAAAAGGGAACCACUUCUGGUACUAUUCCUGGCCAGGUACUGGUUCCUCAGCUUGGCACCAACUUUCCCCAUCGAUCGGAAAGUAGACUUUUUAAAUUAUCUAUUGUCUAUUCCAUUUUGCUUCCAGUUGAUUGAACUUCAUUCCGUCUUUCCAAACUAAGCUAUCUUUAGGUUAGAUAGCCAGAAUGAGUAAUAUAGCAAAACAUUAGAAAGUUCACUGAGAAGCAGGAUGUGGCCAAAGUAAAGCCAAGCCAGCAUGGUCAAGGGGCUGGACUCUGGAAUAAUACAGACCUGGAUUCAAGUGGUGGCCCUGCUGAUGACUAGCUGUGCAGUGUGGACAGUGUACCUAUGCCCUCAGCAGGCUUUUUGCAUAUUCUGUGUGGCUAAUGACAGCGCCAACCUCCACAGAAUUAUGGGGGGAUGAAAUUACAUAAUGCUUAUAAGUGCACAGUUUCUAACUCCUAGUAAGCAGUCAAAAAAUCUGUUAUCACCUAUGAGUGUUAUCGAAGCUUUCCAGAAUCAUUGAUUAGCUAGCUGAGUCAAUAUUACACAAAGUUUCGUUGUCUAUUUUUAAUUUUAAAACUAUUUACAUCAAGCUAUUAUUUGACAGUUGAGGGUUACUUGGUCAGGGUGACAGCCAGAGCAGCCUUUUUAACCUAAAACUGUUUAGAACCAUAUUAUUAUUAUUAUUAUUAUUAUUAUUGAGAGAGAGUGAGAGCGAGAGAGAGCAUGAACAGGGGAAGGGGGCAGAAGGAGAGAGAGAGAGAGAGAGAGAGAGAGAGAAUCCCAACCAGGCUCCACGCUCAGUGCAGAACCCAACUCGGGGCUUGACCCCGAGACCAUGAAAUCAUGACCUGAGCCAAAACUAAGAGUUGGACACUCAAACAACCAAGCCAUCAGGCACCCCAGAACCAUAUUAGAUGUAAGUAUGGCCCAAGAUUUACCAACGCCUAUAUACACAUUCUGUGUAAAAGUAUCACUGUUAAAGUGAAUAUUUUCAACUAAGACCUUUUCACUAAAAUAUUUUAUAGGUGUGAAUUCUAAACUGCUCUAAAUUAUUUUCUUUGCUGCUAGUUUGUCUUUAUUUUAAUCUUAUAUUGUUCAUUGGAAAUGAACAUUGUAUUGUACAUUGGAAAUUUCUCCCUUCUUUAUUUCUUUUAAAUAGGGGAAAGUAAAAGAAUCAAGUUGCUUUUCUCCCUGACACCUAGCCUGGGUGUAGAGAUCUGGAGUCCUUCCUCUAGAAUUCUCUAUAAGGACUACUCAGAUCAAAUGCCCUCUGGGAUAUUUGAUUCCCACUUGGGUUGUAUCAGCCCUCAUCAGAAUCUGCAACCUUGCCUCCGGAUAUUCUACCAACUGAUAUUUUGGUAUAGUUUAGCACAGUGAAAAAAGUACUUGGAUUUGGAGUCAGAGGACCUGAGUUUCUGUUUUACUCGGCAGCUUUGCUCCCCGAAAUGGGAAUUGCUGAAGUCAACGUCUUCAUCUGUCAGGUGUUAUAAAAAAAAACUGACCCUACUUACCUCACAGGAACAAGUGAGAUGAUGAAAGUUCUUUGUGAAUAGCAGAGCAUGGGGCAAACGUUAGUAAUUAUUGUCAUUAUGAUCAUUACUGAUACCGAAAAUAAUGUUCAGAGUCAGAAAUCGUAUCUGAGACCAGCAAAAUAAGUUUUACCCUGUUGGUACAGUAUCCCUUUUGUGAUAGUUCCCUUCUGUUUGGCAAACACCUUAUCAGUGUUUUCAGACCUCUUAGAGUUUUUCUGUUGGCAGAAUUUCUCUCUUACUCCAGGGUCCAGCUUGAAGGUUUACGUGUGUGUGUGUGUUGACAACAACACUGAAUGAUUUCCUCACCUUUCUUACCACUCAGGUAGUGUACUUCUAGCUGGCCCAGUGUAAAAGUUUGGAUUCUGACUCUUUAAAUCUUUCCAUCUUCUCUCUCCUAGCCUGUCUCCCAGGGACCUCCAACAAAUCACUGUGUAUUCUGGAAAUGCUAAAUCAUUAGAGCAAGAGCCAUAUCAAGGUGAAAUGAGAAAUGUAACUUGCUACAAGGAAAUGCUAUGAAGCUUAUUCUGCUUUCAAAGCUAAAUAGGUGUGCUUUCUAAAUUGGCUGAUGGCAUGGCGUAGCUAAAUUCAUAGUCUCCUGUAAUAUGUUUGAUACUCAAGAGUUAUAGGCGUCAUUACUGGCUUAAUUCUUUUUUUCUCUUAAUCCUUCUAAAGCGCUCAGUUGUUUAGAAUAAUUUCUGACCAAUAGAUGCAGUCAGAUAGUAUUUCCAUCUUUGCUCCCACCUUUCCUUCAUAGCAUAACUUGUCUUAUGAAGACAUCUGUAAAUUAAGAUUUUUAGUAUGAUUAGAUAUAGAGAAUAACUAUUUUUUAAUUUUUUUAACAUUUAUUUAUUUUUGAGAGAGAGAGCACCAGCAGGGGAGAAGCAGAGAGAGAGGGAGACACAGAAUCCGAAGCAGGCUCCAGGCUCCGAGCUGUCAGCACAGAGCCAGACGCGGGGCUCAAACUCACAGACUGUGAGAUCAUGAUCUAAGCUGAAGUUGGAUGCUUAACCAACUGAGCCACCCAGGUACUCCUAGAGAGUAACUGUUGAAACGGGUAGAUCUUGGAACCCAGAUGUCUAUUUUGGAGUCUGUCAACACCCCUACCGGUUGGUUACCAUGUUCAUCCAUUAACCUGAAGUUAAUCUGCUUUUUCUCUUCAGCCAUAUUGCUUGCCACUAGAGAAACAAUAGUUUCAGAAUAUUUUCCAAAGGACGCAAAUGAUUACAUGGCCCUCUUCUUAUUGGCCAGUGUAAUCUCAGCUAUGAAAGCUUUUCUGUAAGUAUCUGAUACCUUAAUGAGCAGAUUUCCUUGUCUUUCUUAUUGUUCUUCCGUGUUUCCUACAUUUUCUUUCUUUCCUUGGCUUGGAAUAAAUUACUUAGUUGGACAAGAAUAACCUUACAUUAUUCCCAGUCAAUACAUGACUAUAUAAAGAUAGGUGUUUUCAUCUGUAAGGACAAACUUAAAGGAUUCCAAGAAUGAAAGUGUUGGUGUAGCUGUCUGAAGAGAUUUGAAACAUUCUUUUAACUUUAUUGCAACCAUCGCCCACGUUGUGAGGAACACUCUUCCUGUUAACUGGAAGGAAAAGAAAUUUCUCUAACAUAUUUUCCACUCAGCCCUCUUUAAGAUAAUUCCUUUCAUUGCUUUGGUAAGUCAUUCACACUAACAGGUACCAGUUUUUCUGUGCCUGCCUUGGGCUAAGUAGAGCAGGUGACAAAAACCCUUUCAGGUUGUCAGAUAUUAAUGUAAAAUACCCCUAGACCUCACUACUUAUUCAUCUUCAUCUAGUUGACUAAUGCUUUUCCCAUGUUCUUACAUGUUGGUAAAUUAAAGAAACCUUCCAGACAGUUCUGUCAACAGUUUACUGAAAUGUACCUCAUUAGUGAGGUUGACCUGUCACAUGAGUGUAAUUUAAUCCUAUUGAAUUAUCACUCAAAAAUGCCUAAGUGCUGGGUUUUUAUACACUGGAUAGAAGGUUUGCUACUAACACUGUCAUGUUUCCAGUUGAUGAGAGAGGAAACAAGCAAAAAAUAUGCAGGGUCCUCUCUGCCUCUACCUCCCCACGCCCAAAAUAGUGAUACUUAUGUCAUCUCCUGAACAGAAUAUUACAUUUCACUGUAGAUCAAAAAUAUCCCUGUGGAUCAUUUUCUUUUCAAAUCUAAAAGGGAAAGAGUGAAUGUUGACUGCUACCCCCUUUAUUUCCCUGUCCGGUAACAAAAGGAAUCUCUGAUACAAAGCCCGAUCUGAAUGAGGAGUUUCAGAAUCUGCAGCGUUCUCUAAUGUUAAUGGGACUCUUUACUGUAAGAUAUUAUUUAUGAUUUGCUGCGAUAUUGUGUUUUCUAAAUGGCAAAGCAGCACAUGAGAUUAAUUAUUUUUCUUCAGUUGUUUCUGUACUGUGACUUUACACUAUCCCAAGGUGAGCUGGGUAAGAACUGAUUAUAAGCAAUGAACGCAGAAUGUGUGGAGCACGCUGGGAACAUUUGGUUAAUCUCUCCUUUUCAGAACCACACUUGUAACUAUUUCCUCAGUUGUUCAGAUAAUUGUGAUGCCAUUGGUCAAGAUGUGAGCUUUUCAUUGUCGUGACUUGGCAAGUUGAUUAGGCCAAUCUAUAGAAAUUGAAGAGACUCUCUUUAGUAGCGAGAGAUGAAUGGCCAAAAAAUACGUAGCUUGACCUAAAGAAAUAGGGAGACAUAUCAAAGACACACUGAUGAAGUAUCUGUCAUAAUCCUAAAGGCUAGUAUUUAGUGUGUGCUUACUAGAGACCAUGUUCUGUGCUAUGCAUUUCACGUGGAUUAGUCUCUUCGUUUCUCUUAACAACCCUAAGCAUUUGGCUCUAUUCUGAUCACCACGUUACAGUUAAGGAAGCUGAAAUGAGACAUGUCAAAGUGAAGGUUAUGGAGCUCACAGAUGGCAGAAUUUGAACCCAGAGCCAAUGCUCUGAAGAGCUAUGUAGCACUGUGGUCACAACUGUGAAGUCACCGAAUCAGAGUUUGAUCAUUAAGUUCUACAGAUUCUAACUCAUCAUGGCUGUUCUCCAAAAGAAUGUUGGCCCCCAGGUAAUGUUGGUUCUGUGGUUUGCAUUCAGCCUCCUUGUUACUGGGAAGUGAAGGUAUACGAUUUUGCUCUUGUUGUCCCAUUCUGUCACAGUAGAUUAGCUAUGGUCCUAGAGGGAGAUGUCUGUGCACUGCAAUGCAGGUCAUGGGAUAAUGAAAUGAGAUCCUGUAGCUUUUGGAGGCCUGGCUGGUGCCUCUGUGACAGCAUGCUCGACCUUACCUGCUUGCUGUGCUCUUACGGGCAUGAGGAUUGUAAAUUAUGUGGUUGCUUUCUUAGCCUUCUUACCUUCCUCCAACCUCCUCCACCGACCCUCCAUGUACCUGUCAGGCUUUGCCAAAGAUGCACUAAAUUCUAAAUGGUGGAAAACUGACUCUGCAUAACGGGUGGGUGAAAAAGGUCAUGGCGCCUCAUAUUCCCAUUCAGAUGGCAGCCUACUUGGCCUGAGAAAUAAAAAGGGAAAUGUCUGGGAGAAAAAUCACAGAAAGAACGUAUAUUUUUAUUCUGCUUUUUUUCCUCCAAAAGUAGAGCAAAUGAACCCAGAUCAGAUUGGCGGACACGUUAUUUUUCCCGGUGGAAUAAAACCUCUAAGCCAUCUCUGAGAUUGCUAUAGACAAAGAACUCUCAUUGACCUCAACAGCUAUUUUAUAUGGGAGACACCAGGGCAGGACACCUUUUGGUGAUUUUAUAAGGUCUUGGAAACCUCAUUUGGCAAGCAUGAAAGAGGGAGAGGAUUUGGGUCAGGAGUGCUGAAUCCUCGUCUCACCACUGUUGACUUUCUGUGUAACAUAAUAUUUGAGAGAUUACAUUGAAAUGUCUCAGGAUUUAUUAAUCCCAUAUGUUUUUUUUAAGUUUCUUUUUGAAAGAGAGAGAGAGAACAAGCAGGGGAGGGGUAGAGGGAGGGAGAAAGAGAAUCCCAAGAAGGUUCCAAGCUGUCAGCACAGAGCCCCGUGAGGGCUAAUCUCGACCUGAGCCAAAAUCAAGAGCUUAACCGAUUGAACUGCUCAGGCGCCCCUAUCAUGUAAGAAGUUUUAAGGCAUUGUGACAGAUGUUUUUUAGUUACCAUUGAUCCAGAACAAGACACUCUUCUGAGAACCUUAUCUUUUCUCUGCAUUAAAAUUGUAACAUUGUCUUUUCUUUAACAUUUUGUUUCUUUAAAAAAGAAGUUUAGUGUUUACUUAUUUUUGCAAGAGAGACAGAGUGUGAGUGGGGGAGGGGCAGAGAGAUAAGGAGACAUAGAAUCCGAAGUAGGCUCCGGGCUCUGAGCUGUCAGCACAGAGCCAGAUGCGGGGCUUGAACAUAGGAACCAUGAGAUCAUGACCAGAGCCAAAGUCAGUCACUUAACUGACUGAGCCACCCAGAUACCCCAACAUUUUAUUUUCAAAGAAAUAGAAUAGCUUCAAAGGGGAAUUUAUGUUUCUGACAUAUUUUAAUAGCUAAGCAUAAGAUGCAAUUUAAAAUUCAUGUAUGCCCAUCAGCUGGUCCAGAAAUAUCUUUAAUUUUCUAGAAAAGUAUCACUGUGUCGACAUUCCAUCUUUGGACACGUCGCCACGUGCUUUUAUACAGGAAUAGGAAUUGAGGGUGAUAGGCCAAGCCUAGGAAAGACAUUCUCAAGAGCCACACAGUGAGGAAUAAGUUGCUGAUGUUUCCGAAGCGUGGCUCAGAGUGGAGUCCACACCGAAACAGCGGCACUCAUCUUCCUUGCUGCAAACCACAUGGAGCCAAACCGCAAUUAGUUUGAAAAUGGUCAUGAUUUUCAGAUUUUACAUUCCCUCCACGCUCUUAAUAAAAAUGAACACACUCUGUGACUUUUUAACAAAAAAUAAAAACUGAUGAUACCAUGUAUUUUAAAUAAGAGCUAACGCAUCAGUUCUAUUCCUUUCAAUGUCUCUUCUUUGCCCUAUUAUUUUUAUUUUCUAAAGAAUUUAUUUAUUUAUUUAUUUAUUUAUUUAUUUAUUUAUUUAUAUUUUAGAGAGAGAGCAUGAGCGGCGAAGAGCAGGAGAGAGAGAAUCUCAAGCAGGCUCCACGCUCAGCGCAGGGCCCAAUGGGGGGCUCAAUACCUCGACCCUGAGAUCAUGACCUGACCCAAAAUCAAGAGUCAGACUCUCAACUGACUAAGGCACCUGGGCACCCCUGUCCUAUUAUUUUUCUUGGUAAACCAAACAGACAAACUGCAUACACAUAGUCAUUUAGUCAUUCGUUCAUUCGUUCAUUCGUUUACAGAGUGGUCACGCAUGUUCCCUGUUCCAAACCUUUAUCCCGUCAUGCCCGGACAAUUAUAACCAUCUUUUGCUUGUUUUCUCACCUUCUCUUUCUCCAUCUUGUGUGUUCACUUCUUCUUUUCCAAUCCCAUUGUCCUUCAUCUGCCCUCAGGAUCUUCCAGGUGUGUUGAAUUACAAGACUGAGAGCAGCCACUCUGCACAUGGGUGGGAAGUGUUGGAAGAAAGUACAAUUAUAAGGUGGGUGGAAAGGAGAAUCUGAGACUUUCUCUAUUUGAGGUGUCCAUGGGACAAAUGUGUGGAAAUUAUUGUCGGUGAAGCUCUAGAUCUGAGAAGAGAGAUUUUAUUUAAUGAAAUAAGGACACACAGAUAGUUCAAAGUCAAGAUGCUGAUUCGAUCACUAAAGAGAUAAAGUAAAAGAAAAUGAGAACUGGGCACAGAGUGGGUGACAAAUAAAUAUUUGCUGUUUGUGGUGUCUUACCUGGGAAACUUACUACCAGUAUGUCUCCUUUGAUGGUCAUGACCUGUUCCUUUUAGGGUGUGAAACUCUUUCGUUCCUGGUAUUUAUUAUAGAUUUGAACUCUCCACUUCAAAAGUCAUUUUAAAGAGAGGUAUUCAUAGAAACUUGCUCUCGGAUAAUCAAAUAGCAGUACAAUGGACAAAAACCUUCCAAAAGAAAUACUUAAAAUAGACUUUAACCCUUACUCACCUUGAGGUUAAGAAAAGAAGCUUGCUUUUUAUAAAAAGAAUAUCUAAUAUGAAUCAGAAUUAGAGAAGUAAGGCUGGAAGGAAUUUCAGAGCAUCGUAGCUGAAGCACAUAUUUGCUAGGAGAGUAAACUGAGGCAGAGAAUGACUAAGAAGUUAACCCAAGGCUUCCUGCCUUAAUUGGCAGAAAUCUUAGCCCCUGUUAUCUGAAUGACAAAUAUAGAGGAAGAAUCUUUUCUAGAAAUUCUGAUAAUGCUAGGAAUGCUCCCUGGACCCAAAGCAUCAGAAUAAAAACCUAUUUUACAAAUUAAAAUGUUAAAAUUUCAAUUAAAUUUCUAUUUAGUUGAAAAAGGUAAAACCUAACUGCUUUACUUGGGUUUCAUUGUUUCUUCAACUGUUGUUGGUUUUUUUGUUUUGUUUUGUUUUGUUUUGUUUUAAAGAAGGGGAUGUGGUUUGGAGUGGAUAAUACUGGGCCACUUUCAGCUCCAAAAACAUGGCAUUCUAUAAUUUUUGAAUCAUAAUAUAUUUGUAGAAGGAAUAAGGGAAAUGCCAGCAAAUUAAAUACUAAUACUAAUAUUUCAUAAUUAUAAGAAAUUCAAAAUUCUUGGUCAACACAAUAAGUUGUAAAGUGAAGCUUUAUUCUGUUUUGUCAACUCAUACCAAAUAACUGUUUUUUAAAUUGCUGUUCAUUCUGAUAAUUUGUAUACACAAGUCUUUUAAAAAUUGGAUUAUAAUAGAUACGGGUGAUUUCUACAGAUUAAAAAGCCAUAUUAUAACAUCCACAAGUAAACUUCAGACUUUCUUUUAUUUUAGAAGAGCAGGUAAAAACUAAUCAUUCCCUCUUUCUUUAUACUGUAUGCUUUUUUUUUUCUCCAGAUAAUGAAUAUUUUAAGUGUGAAAACCCAAACUUCCCAAAUACCUAUUCUUCUUUUAAAAAGAAUUGAUAUUACCUUCUUCCUCACCACCACCCCCCACCCACACACAUAAAUUGGGGGCAGUGGGGAGUAGGGGGCUGAAGUUUAGAAAUUGAAGAAAUGAUCAUCUCUAAUAUUCUAUUCCAUUCUGCAGAUGAAUCAUUGCAACCAAUAUCAGUGAAACAUGUUUUAUUCGUAGUCAGAAUUCAAGAAAAUGCCAAUUAUUCAUUCAUCUGACAUUGGUUCAUUUAUUUACUUAUUCAUUCAUUCAACAGAAAUUUUUGACCCUUGGUUUCUGUGCUAGGUAAUCAGGUAAAAAUGUGUAUAAUGUAAAACCAAACCAUUGCCUUUGGUGAACAUAGGGAAGAAACUCUUCUAUCAGACAGCCAGGACUUUUCAAAGGCAAUUUGGAGCAUGAUAUGAGGAAGCAGGCCACAAAAGGAAAAAGAGAUAACACAGUUCUUCCAUCAUUUCCCAUGUUAAUCCCAUUUGUAAAAUCACUGAGAAUCCCUAAAUCUUUUGCCAGAUUCACAAGUAUGCAAACUGAUUCACAACUGUAAGAUUAGACGAAGCUUACUAUUCAGUAGGAACACAAAACAAUGUUUUUAUAAAUUACAAAGAUUUAUUUGAAUUCCUCCUCUUUCCCCCAUAUAACACAUACAAAUCACCCUUUCUUCUGAAAAUUGGCCAAUCAUCAAAGUCACUCAAAGGUUUUGAUGCCUUUAUUUGCCAUCCAGUCAUUGUCCUGAGGCUGUAACAGAAUAGAACAGUAGAACAGGAGCUGAAUCGGUGGGGCAGAGCAACCCUAAAAGAAAAUCUUGACCCACUGUCCUUCACAUACUCAAUGUGGUUGUAUAGUAUACUAUAAUUCUAGAGUUAUAUCAUAAGGAUGCUUCUGGAAUGAAUGUUAAACCUUUAGAAAAUUCAGAGUACCAACUCCUUAAAGGUGGAGAUAAUAUAAUAUAGUAUAGUAUAAAAUAGUGUAGUAUCGUAUCUUCAUAUAGUGAAGAGAAUAUAGAUAAUAUAGCAGAAGAAAGAUUGUGGUUAAAUGACCCAGGCAUAAAUCCUUGUAUAAAUCUGAGUCUUCCCAUUUUUAAAAUAGGCAUAAUAAUGCCUACCAUGCAGGAUUGUUACGAGAAUAAAUAGGUAACCAAUAAAUUGUUAUUUAUACCGGUAGUUCUAAACUGGAGAUGAUUUUGUGUCCCUUACUCACCCCCUUCCACCAAGGGGCAUUUGGCAAAGGCUAGUGACAUUUUUGGUUUACACAACUAGAGAAGAGGUCAAGAUGCUGCUAGAUAACCUAUAAUGCAUAAAACAUUCCUCACAACAAAGAAUUAUCUGGCCUAAGUGUCAACAGUGUGGAGGGUAGACAACUUGAAUGUGUACAGAGCACAUAGCAGGUGGACAGGAGGUGAUGGUUAUUACUAUUACCUGCAAUGUUUCAAAACUAGAUCUAAUGUAAAAACAUUGUGUGUGUAGAGUGAAUAGACUAAAUAUUUCUCUAGCCUUUAUAAUGAAUUAACUCCAAGAUUUCCUUGGAGAUGUACAUAAUCAAUUACAUACUUAAAAACUAUUCUCAAUAGCUCCAGUGACAUUCAAAAUGGAUCUAGGCUGAAACAGACUUCUGUGCAUGCAUAAAGGAAUUUUCCUGUCAAUAUUAUUGUAUGUCAAACAGAAAAACUCUUGAUAUGCAAGACAACUAGAGCAAGAAAGGCGUAGUCUGAAAAUAAAAUUGAAAAUAGUUUUCUAAGCUUCAUUUUCCAAUAUGUUCUGUUUUGGAGCUCUUAUGGUUAUCUGGAUAUUCUAUUCCCCUCUUUCCUCUUUAUGUUACCAUGAACUGAGAUCCUCACAAACUUUGGGUCUUGUCCUUCACACCUGUCUUCCCAGGACACUUUGGCUUUGGGGUCUGUGGGGCAUUGCGUGCUAUCAACAAAAUACAUUCUAAAGCCUGUGGACUCCUGAAAGUCUUCAAUUUUUUAUUUCUGUGCAUUCCUAUAAACAUAACAUUCCUUUGUCUUCUCUAUUAUGGAAUUGUCCCAUGGUGUUCCUUUGUAGGAAUUUUCUUCCAUGAUAACAUUGAAAAAUCACACAGUGCUUGGAAUGCAUUACAGUUGGAAUAUUUUUUUUGACAUACCAUUCAAAAACUCUUUAAAAGCUCAAUCUAUUAAAUCAGAUUCUGACAUUAGUCUACACUAAAUUUCAUCUAGUUUCUUGCUCAUCAUUUUAAUGGUAUAUUUUAGAUCUGACAUCCUCAUGUAAAACCUUUAUUAUUUUGCCCUGUGACAAUUCAAAAAAUCUUCUCUCUUAUAACUUCUUUCCCAACUUGCCCCAACUGUCCACAAGACAGUUCAGUUCAUCAUUUCUGCCUCACUAUAACCACUGUGCUUUCUGCAUAUUACGAAACUGCUCAUGUACAUUCUUUCAUAAUCAAUGUCGAAUAUUUAUUUACAAUAGACUGAAGACAGUGGUUGUUUUAAUAAUCUUUGUAUUUCUACAGCUUAGUGCAAUGCAGACAUACCACAAACCCUCCAGUUAAUGUUGAUUCAAUGGAUAAAGAUUGACACACAUCAAACCAGAUUAUGCCAUAGGUAUUGCAGAUUUCCAAAAAUCUGCAUUCUUUUUCUUAUCAAUGCUGCUUUUCUUAUCAAUGCUGCUUAUCAAUUUUCUUAUCAAUGCUGCUUUGGUUCUUUCUGUUUAAUGUUAGAAGCAUCAUGAACAUGUCAUAGGUGGAAUAUAUCUUUAAAUAACACCAGAACUUAGAGUGGAUCUAAGUUUUGGAGCCACGGGGAGGAUUCUGAGAAUAAGUAUUGUUAAGAGCUUGUGUUUGUCUUGAACCCCUUAAAGUUCAUGAAUAAGAUAGAACUUUAUAUCCUUGCUAAGUGUGAAAGAAGGGAGAAGAAAUGAAGUUAGGCAAAAUCUUAAUUAUAAAUAAAGGAAGCCCCCACACUGGUGGCAUUUCAUUUACUCCAUAGUUGUAUGUGAAAUCGCACUGGACUAAAACUUCUUUGCCAAAUAUUUAAUUUUAUAAUAUACUGUCCAAAUGAAGGAUUUUGACAUUCCAAUCUGACUUUCAAAUAAGUUAUUAAUUAAAGCUGAGAAAAAAUUUCAGACUUGCCUUCAAUUCAAUAAAUAUUUGUUGAAUAUUUAUUAUGUAUUAGACACUAUUCUAGGUACUUGGGACAUAGCAGUGACCAAAACUUCUGUUCUUAAAACUUACACUAAAUCUAUAUUCAUUUGCAGCUGGAGGAAUAAGAACCAAGUAACAGUUUGCUUCCUAAAUAAGUUAAUAGUUUAAUAUACUGUUUGCAUUUUUCUGAUAUGUUUAUGUGAUUAUCUGGAUUUCAUAAGAAAGAAAGAAUGCAUGAGUUCCUUUUGUAUUCAUUCCAGGUAGCUGAGACUGAAUAGUUUGAAAGCUGUUUCCUAGGAAGCUUCAGUGAUGGUUUGGUGAAUUCCCAGUUAGGACGAUUUUCUACUGUGCUUUGUAAUUUGCUGUUUGACUUUCCUAGAAUCACUGUUCGUUGUCUCCUAGAAAUAUAGUAAGAAAUAGUUUUAUCUAGCUACCCAUUUAGGUGAUAUGUUGAAGUUUUAACCUUUUAUUUUAGGAUAAACAAACACAGAGAGUUUGUUCAAGGAUGGGGAGAAAUAGGGAGAAAAAAACUUACUUCUGGUCGUUAGUGUAAAUCCAGUUGUCUGUACAUUAUAGGGAAUUAGUCGCUUUUUAGAAAGAGCUUUUAAUUGCCUAAUCUAAGUAAUGUGGGCAAUGGCAUACGUGUUUUAUUUUAGGGUCUAUCUAGCCCACUCAGAAAAUGUAAUGGACCUAAUUUUCAUUUAGUAUAGGUCUGUGCAGUUCCUAAAACAUCUAAAUGGCUAUUAAUUUAAUCAGGUAAUUUAACUAUAGCUCUAGAAAAGGCCACCAGCUAGUUGUCACGCAAUGAUUAUGAGGAUGACAUUUCUAUCCCAUGAUGCCAGAGGCAGACUUUGAUACAUCAUUUUCUUUUUGAAGGUUAAACUCAGAUAACCUGCCUUUGGCAUUUAAUUAGCUACAUAUUAAACACUCUUUUAAUAAUAAAAUGAUUAAAAAUUUUAUUGCUUCUCAAAUGAGGCCCUUUUAGAUAGAUUUAAUGACUUGGUUCGAGCUCUGUAGUUUGUGAACCAAACCUUACUUAGGCCAGGGUGUAGUAAUGAUAUGCUUUACAGCUUGCAAAAUCUGUAUUUUAUUCAAAUGAUGGCCAUAAUCAUUUUGGAUAAAACUUAUAAUGCUUUCUUCUGUAUUUUUAAGUCUAACUGUUAAAUGUCAUUGGAAACUAACCAGAAACCCAUUGAUUCAAAAUUUCCAGAAAUUGUCAAGUUCAAGAUUCAUAAAGAGACCAUGAAGUCUGCUUAAUGUGCUGAAUCUUAUAUACUAAUUGUUUACCCUUUGAAAAAUCAUUUGUCGUCAUUGAAUGCCUGCAAGGAAAAAAAAAACUAUUAUAGAAAUGACAGAGAAGUGUGAGUGGCCUACAAAUGCCCAUCCAUAUUUUCAGCUAAUAUUAGCUGUUUAGUGAAAAUGGUCAUCAAGAGACCAUUCGUUGUUCAUCCUCAGCAUGACUUGGUGGGGGUAAGGGGCAGUUACAAUGUCUGUGAAAUAGGUGAAAGAGACAGAAUGCUGUCACACCAGAACAUGGAUAACUAGAGUCUGAAUAAAGGUGACCAUUUUACUUUUAUUCCUUUUAAAAGUUUUUACUUAAUUUUGAAUUUAUGUUAUUUAUUUAUUUAUUUUGUUGUAUAUGCAGCAGCUUUUAGCACUCAGUUCAAUGAGAUUCGACAGAAAUGUACACCCAUGUAACCACUGUCUCGAUCAGGCAAUUAGCUGUCAGACUUCCACAUGCUUUCUUUCCCACAACUUCCUUCUGCUUGUUUUACAACAUCAUGUAGAUGUAACCGUACAGCUUCUUUCGCUUAUCACAUUAUUUUUUAUAUUUACUUGGGUAAUAUAACAGUUGACAGUUUGCAGAUUUUUACAGUUGUACUAUUCCAUUGUGUGAAGGACCAGUCACCUGUUGAUGGAGGUUUGGGUUGUUUCUAGUUCUUUAUUCUAUUACUCAAGCUAUGAACAUGCUUUUGUCAUUCUUUGUUGAAUACAUGGUCUCAUUACUAUUGAGUAAAUAUCUAAGAGUGGCAUCAUUGGGUCAUUAUAAUACUUGCCUGUUUCACUUGAGGAGAAACGGCCAAUAUCUUCACUUUCGGUGUAGUUGUGAAUGAGCUAGCACCCACUUCUUUUAGCUUGGAAAGAUAAAAGUAUUCAGUGAAUAAUAUUCAAUGUAGUGAACGCUGCAAGUGUGUUUAGAAUUGUAAUGGUGAUUUUCUUCUCUCUGUAGAUGUAGAACUUUUCAUUUUGGUGAUUUGACAGAGAAGUCCCUUCCUCCCCAUUCAAAAUCAACAGAUUAUUGCUUUUAUUUCACGUGUAGGUAAAUGUGAAUCAAUAUGGUUCUUUGGGGUUUGGCUUGUUAGAGAAAAUAAGGGAAAAACCCACCAACACACAAACUGGCAAUCAAAUUAAGAUGAAUAUUUCAGAAGAGGCCACCUGUGACUUUGUACAUUAAGGAAAUAUGUAUGUGGCAGAGGGCGAUAAUUCUGAUCGUUAGCACCCGGAGUCUGCAACAGAUUACCAAAUAGCGUUAGAAAAUAUUGUUUCUCUUUGCUUUAGAAUACAAGAUAGCUGGUCCAAAUGAUGAAGAUCCCAGAUCUUCCUUUAACUUUUUCAGCAUAGUUGAUUGAAAUUAAGUGAGGUCCCAUGAAAAAAAAAUUUCCCACACCAGAUUUGUUAUUGUAAACUUCUUCUGACUUGGGGGUGUGAAUUCCUGAGAUCCUUGAGUCUAGGGAGAGUACUUUCUAUUAACAAUUGACUUACUAAUAUUUUAUGGGCAUUUCUUCUAAAUCCUAUGCUAGUUUUUUCCUUGAUAAAUUGUACAUUUGGGUUUCUUAGGCCAAGAGAGAUUGUUUUAAAAAGAUAAUCAAUAGAUAAAUGUGUCUUUUUAUUGCUUUAUUAGAGAAUGGUUUUUGUUUUAUUAGAGAAUAGGUAUUUUUUGCAGAAAAAUUAGAAAAUGCAAAUAUGCAAAAAAGAAAAACUAGUUGUAAUUCUGCCACACACAGUCAUUAAUAUCACAGUGAAUAUCCUUUCAGGUUUUUUAUGCAUAUGUGUAUGCAUGUAUAUACUUUUUAAAAACAGUAACCUAUUUACAAAAUAAUCUAUUUAUUACCAAAAUAUAAAAAUGUCUCUGUAGUCAGUAUUAUCUACAAAGUAAUUUUAAAUAUUUGAACAAUACUAUAUUGUGUCAUAUUUAUGUAACCGACCUCAUACUGUUGGGCAUUUAUAUUGCUUACAAUUGUAUUUUCUUAUACACAGUGAUGAAGUAAACUUCCCUAUAGACAGAUAAUUUUAUACAUCUGAAAUUUUUCCCUUAGGAUAACUUUCUGUAAAUAGAAUUGUACAAUUAAUAGGUAUCCAUAAUAAAGGUUUUUGCUUGGCAAAUUAUUUUUAUACAGGGAGCAAGCAAACUUGAACAUACUAUUCUACAAUUAAUUCUUGUUACUCAGUUGUAACUUUUUAUGGAACAUUUGUUAUUUAUAGUACAAAAAUAUUGAAAAGUUUUGUGGUCUACAGAAAUAUCCUUGACCUUGGACCUUGUGAAAAAAAACUUUCAUUAUAGUUUGAUUCCAUCAGCUGAGAGUAGAUUCCUGUUUACAUAGAACCUAUAUCUUUAGUGUAAGUGUAUAACUCCAGGUAUACAGGUCUCUCAGUAGAAACUAACCAGUUUUGAGUCAAAUGAAAUUGGCUUCUCUUCAGAAGGCACUUUAUUUUAACUUACUUUUAAUGAUCUGCAGCCCCUUUCUGAUGAUCUCGACCUAUACUGCCCAAUAAGAUAGCCAUUAGCCACCUGAAAGAUGGCUGGUCAGAAUUGAGAUUUAAUAUAAAAAAAUGUAAAAUACCCUAUUAAUAACUUUCAUAUUGAUUACAAAAUGAAAUUAUAAUAUUGGAGAUACAUGGAGUUCAAUAAAAUAUAAUAUUAAAGUGAAUUUUACCUGUUUCUUCUUAGUUUUUUCAACAUGGUUGUUGGAAAAUGUUCAAUUACCCUAUGUGGCUCCCGUUUUAUUUCUAUUGGACAGAGUGCAUCUACAUGUAUAUUCCCCUGAUACAGAAAAUAUAAAACAAGUAUCUCCACAUGUUAAUUAUAUUUUCAUGGCUAUGAAAACCAUAGUCAAGGGAGGGAGGUUUCAGUGGGUCUACAAAGGUGCCUUCAAUGUGAUGUCUGAUAAGUGAGGAAAUCACUGAGAGGAGAAAUCUCACACUUGCCUUGAGCGCCAGGAUUCUACAGAUGGCAGACCAGUUCUUCUUAGCAGCGUUACAGACCCUCUCUCUGCUGAAGCUCUGAAUUGUUGAAAAGGAUGAUGUGUUCUCACAAGGGGAAUGGAUAAAGUGAACAGCAUUCCAUUCCAAAUUCUCUCUGUUUCCAAUCUUGAUGAUCACUUCACAUAUGCCUAAUUUUCAUUUAUCCUCAUGCAGUCUCAACACAAAAGACGUGAGUAAACUCAAGUGAAGAACCGAACUACCCCCAGGCAGCUAGAGACAUGAAGUUUGGAAAUAGAACUCCAUGUGAAUUUUUGUUGAGGUACUGCCUAUAACUUCAGAAUGCAGUGGAGAAUUGAGGCAUAUACCCUUCUCCAAAAAGAAUGAACAACAAUAACAACAAAAGCUGAUAGAUAAGUGACUGAAUAAUUCAGAUUAGGCAAUUGACUUGAAGCUCUCAUAUAAUUGUCCCCUUGUGUGUAUAGACCCUGCCAACUGUGGAAGACCAUCCAAAUAGAGAAGGGUAAUGCUAAUGCUGCAACACAAGUCGUGUGGUUUGGAGCCUGCACUCCUGAUUACUAAAUUAUCCUGCAAUAAAUGUCUUCUGAAUGAACGAAAGGAUGAAUACAUGCAUUAUGCAGGACAGAUUUGCCAUAAUAUUUUCAAGGAUUUGCUAUCAUAUUAUUAUUGCUAAAGCUCCCUCCAAAUAAAGCUACUGAUCUUCAGGAAAAGAUUUUUCUGGAGGAAACCUUGGGAUAUGAUAGAAUAAAUAUGCAUAUGGUGUUGGUUUAGCAUACACAGGUGAUUUAAAAAAAAUCUUAACGUUUAUUUAUUUUUGAGACAGAGAGAGACAGACCGUAAACAGCGGGGGCCGGGGUGGGGGGAGAGAAGGGCAGAGAGAGAGAGAGAGAUUGAGACACAGAAUCCAAAGCAGGAUCCCGGCUCUGAGCUGUCAGCACAGAGCCCCAUUUGGGGCUUGAACUCCUGGACCAUGAGAUCAUGACCUGAGCAGAAGUCAGACACUCAACCAACUGAACCACCCAGGUGCCCCACACAUAGGCAAUUUUGAACAUGACAUGCACUGUGCCUCCAGGGAAGUGUGAGGUUGAAAUACACAGUAAUCCCAUCGAGGGAUGAAGGUGAAAUGGAAGCCUUGUCUUGGAGAAGAAUGGCUCAUGCUCUGGAAAGUCAGGCUAGCAGAGAGUAUGCACAUCGAUUCAGGCACCAGACUUCCAGCUAUCUCUGACCCCUAUGACAUGUAAGGCAAGCCACUAACUUUUUUGAGCUUCAGUUUUUUCUUCCGAAAAAUGAUGAUAAUAUUAGUCCCUACUUCCUGGGUUGUUGUGAGAACCAAAUGAGAUAGAUGUGCGUGAAGCACGAAGUAUAGUGCCUGACCCACAGCGAGUCAAUUAGUGUCUGAUGUGUCAUUGGUGCUGCGGCUCUAAAUCUCCUGCCUAUACUCUGCUGAGGCAUACUGUCCUAUUUUUGGUUUUAUCUCUAAAGAAUUGUUAGGGAGCUCUCGUGUUUUAGUCAGGCUUGAAGAAGAGGUUUAUUAUAAAAACAGAUCUUCAUCAUCAGGCCGGUUCCGUAGGUCACUUGCUUCUUUCUCAAGGCAGGGGUUAGCCAGAAGGCCAAGCAGCAUUUCCUCCAACUUUCUCUUGGCUUGGGUCAAGUUGCUUCAGUAUACCAGCAUCUCUCUCCCUUUCAAUCCAAUUCUCCUCGCCUCCAACCUAUAAAUUGGCUUCGGAAAAUAUUUUUUUCUACAAGUCCAUAGAAAGGGAAAAAAUAGACUUAGUUUUCCUCAAAGUCCCAGGAGUGUCUCUCUCUGGGACAAAGACGGGUUACUUGUUUUCCAGAGCAAUAGGAGGGCCAUUAGUGCAACUGUAUUGAUAUACUUCCCUAGUCAACAAACAUCCCCAGCCAGGGACCUGGGUAGUGGUAAGAUACAAGCCAAAUGUGUAUUUAAUGACUGAGUCCAUAAUUUUAGUUUCCAAUAUGACAUCUAUAAAUUGGAGAUUUUUUUUCUAUUAAAGUCAACAUGAAAUCUUUUUCUGUUGAAGUCUGAUGAUUGACUUGAUUUGUAUAUGGCAAAUAAACAAAAUGUAGCUACUUUUUAAUGUGAACAUCAGGAUUGGUUAAAGAAAUUAUAAUAUAGCCAUACAAUAUAAUAUGCGCCAGCCAUUGAUAAAGCUGUCUUGGGAAUAUAUUUAUAGACAUGUAAAGCUGUUCACCGUGUUCUUAAGUGAAAAAAGGGCGAAUUUGUGAAGCAGUAUGGUUCCAGGUUUUCAGAAAAACGUCUGAAUGUCUAGGAACAAAAGUGUUAAUGAUUGUUAAUUUUAAGGUGGUAGGAGGGGCCACCGGGUGGCUCAAUCAGUUAAGCGGCUGACUUCGACUCAGGUCAUGACCUCACAGCUUGGUGAGUUUGAGCCUCACAUCGGGCUCUGUGCUGACAGCUGGGAGCCUGCAGCCCGCUUCCGAUGGAUUCUGUGUCUCCCUCUCUCUCUACCCCUCACCCGCUUACACUCUGUCUCUCUCUGUCCUUCAAAAAUAAAUAAACAUUAAGAAAAAAAAAUUAAGUUGGUAGGAAAUGGGAAAUUUUUAUUUUGUGUGUUUUUAAAAAUGUCCUCAUUUCUAUAAGUGAAAACAACAUAUCUCUCAUUUAUGAAAGACGUGCUGAAUCAAGCUAUAAUACAUGAAUGCAAUGAACACUGUCAUGAGCCACUGAAAAUUUUAGUGGAUUAUUUGUGAACAUUUUGUUCUCUUUAAAAAAUAGAAUGAGAAUUAAUAGGAAAGAAUCAUUCAACAAGUAUUGCAAUUUCUUGAGUGCCUAUUGCCUGUGAGGUGCUAAGUGAAUAAUAUUAACACUUACAGGGUAAGUUUACUGUAUCCAUUUUAGUGUUAAGAAACGUGAAAUCAGGGAACCUGAUUUGCACAAGUCCACAAUGAUAGAACAAGGACUCAAAGUUGGGUCCCAUUCUACCACUGCAACGUCCUUCUCAAAAUGAAGACCAGAGGAAUCAAAUCAUUUUUUCACUGUCUCAGCUAACAUAUCGCAGAUCUGUGAACUGAACCUGGGUCUUGCUGACCCCAAAACCCAAGUUUUGUUUACUACACUGCUCUUGUCCUCAUGUUUGCUCGUGUUUUACUGGCCAAAGCAAGUCAUGGCCAAGUCUAGAGACAACAUAGAAAGGAGCUAACACAGGUCUGGGUAUUGGGAGGUGUGAUUCAUUGGGGGUCAUUCAUAUAUAAUCUACAAAACUGAACGAGCAUCAGAGUAACUAAAAUGGUUGAAGACAUGAGAUGGGAGGAAAGUACCUGUAAUAAGAGUGUUAAAAUUUCUCCUCUGAAAAGGAACUUGAAGACAAGAAUGUGGGUAAAUAAAUCUGACCAUCUUUAUAAAGCCAGAAAUACUGUAAAGAGAAGCCACCAUUUGAAACUAAGUCUAAAUGAAUUUCAAACAAAUUUUUUAAAUUAUGAUUUAUAAUUUCAGUUACCUAAUAAUUAAUUCGGGGGAUUCAGUAUUCUAUGAGGAAGCCCUGGAAUGAAAUACAAAUUGAUCAAGAAAGAAUGUAAAAAAUUCAUGUAUGUUAGAACUAUAAAUGGGAUUAAGAUGAGCAAUGGUUUCCAAAAAUCAUCAAAAUCAUUUGGGGAACUUUGAAGCAUAUAUAUCUUGGGCUCCAAACCCAGGGAUUUUACUGUUUAAGUGUUUAGAACACUUCAGGUCCCAACCUUCUCAGAUGAUGGUUUUGCACUAAAACCCCCAAAUUCCAACCUUCUCUAGAUUUCAAAAAAUGGUAUGAUUUUUCAGAAAAGGACUAGACCUUCAAUACUUUUUAAAGCAUAAAACUUUCUCAGAAGAGGGACUAGCUGUGUCAACUUUGGGUAAGGUAAUACAUUCUUCUCAAGCAACUCCCCACUGUUUCUCCAUCCUUCAUCUGGAAAAUGCAGACAAAAAUACCACCUUCAUAGGGGUUUUGGUAAGGAUUAAAUGAAGCAACCUAUAAAAGUCCUUAGCAAGCCUUGUAUACACUGAGGGCUCAAUAAAUGGCAACAAUUAGCACUAUUACUAACAAUUUGCUGAUAGUGUUUUUUGGAAAUAGACUACUUGAGUGGAUGGGCCCUAGUUUUGGCUGAGUAUGACCCUUCCUGUUUCUAUGAUCUCCCUGUGUUGAAACUGAUAAGAAAAGAAGAUGAUUUACUCUUGAGGUAAUAGAAUUACCCUUGUGCUUGAAACCUGUAUCAAAGUAGAACUAUCAGUACACAACUGGAAGGUAGCUAGCAGGACAUAGGGUAUGUCCGAGAAAUAAUGAUGGCAAUGAUAAUAAUGAUUCUUGCUGUCAUUUACUGAGAUCCCACUAUGUUGCAAGCACUGUUCCAGCCAUUUAUGUCCAGUAUCUGGCUUCAGUACCAUGGCAGUCUAUUAAAAAUAUUCUACUAUUUUCUGGGGCACCUGGGUGGCUCAGUUGGUUAAGCAUCCAACUUUGGCUCAGGUCAUAAUCUCAUGGUUCAUGAAUUUGAGCCCUGCAUGGGGCUGACUGUCAUCAGUGUGGAGCCUGCUUCAGAUCCUCUGUCUCCCUCUCCCCCCUGCCCUUCCCUGACUCACACACACGUGUGUGUGUGUGUGUGUGUGUGUGUGUGUGUGUGUGUCUGGGUCUGUGUGUUCUCUCUCUCUCAAAAAUUAUUGGACAUUAAAAAAAUAUUCUAUUAUUUUCAUUUUACAGAUGAGGAAGCUGAGACUUGAAGAGAUUAAGCUCCUUGUCCACAGUCGGCCCAGUGUUCCAGCCUUCUGCCGUCCGAGUCAGAUAGAGACUUGACAAUCCAGUUAAAGAUAGGAAUUUUACAUUCAUUAUUAUCGCUGUCUCCUCAAGUUUUUAUUGAGGGAAUGAAUGGCACAGUUUGGAAGUGUGCAGUUUGGAAACUUCCUUCUCUAAGAGAUUUUGUUUUAGCCUUCUCUCUCAAAUAGGCUUACUUUUCUAAGAGCUUGCUUGUUCUUGAAGCCCAUUUCUCAACAUUGCUAUGGUAUGAAUGGAGAACCGUGGGCAGUUUGGGAAAAACCAUGUUUGAGUGGUUUGUGGUAAUGAAGAGGAGAUGGUCAUUUCACAUUGUCUAUGUCUAUUCUUUUUUCUCUAGACUUUUGGGUGAGUCAUAGCUUUGUCCAAGGAGGCAACUGGUAUUUGCAACCUUACUUUGUCAAUGACACCUGUUGUAUUCAAACCUUCAAACUUAACGUCAACUGAAAAAACACAUAGCAUUUUACUCCUUUAAUAUUGCUGUAGAAUUGUCCUAUUUUUCUUGCCUCUGGAUGCUUCUUUUGUGACAUUCUUAUCUAACAAGAUUUAUUCGAGUAGCAUAGUCACACUACUCUUACCCAAACCCGUUUUCUUUCUUCUUUUUAAUCCCCUCUGUAGAUGCCUUCUCUUCAUGCCAGUGUUAUGAUUUGGGGAGGAGUUUUGGUUCUUUAUAAAUCUCUGCACACUCUGAGGGACUCCAGGGGGGCAGGGCAAAGGCUCCUGAUUCUAUCCAUAAAUCUCAGUUUGAGGGAAAAGCUACAGAUGGGGACAAAGGGGAGCGUUUCUACUCUUCUGUGAUUUUACAGGGUUCAUCUCUGUACUCUGUGGAAUAGGGUGGAAGCUUCCACACGCUAACACAGAUCAACAGAUCAGUUUUGUUUUUUGUUUUUUGUUUUUUGUUUUUUUUUUCUCUUCAGAUCACAUACUCACUAGAGGAGAGUGACAUCCUGGCAAAAACAUCCCCAAACACAAAGCUCUUCUGUUGGGAUUAUACUACCAGUGGUCAUUCCCCUCCAAUCUCAAAUGCUCCCAGCCCCAGAGCAAAGCGCCCCUCUGCACGAGGGUUGAAAUUGCUUCCCAGCUGUGGCCAUAACAGGGGCAUCGAUCCUCAUCUGUUCCCCACCACUGAAUUCUCCACUGUGCACUAGAAACAGGAAUCACACCCUCCGACACCAGUGGGACCUGACUUUUAGAAGUAAGAUUGAAUAGCUAUUAGAAGGGGUGACGGGUAUAACCUAACACUGUACUGAGAAACCAUGGUAAUGAAGUAAUAGAAUCGUAGGGUAGUAGACGCGGAUGGCUCCUUAGGCGUCAUACUGGCCAACCCCUUCACUUUACAGGUGAAAAAACCCAGGUCCAAAGAGGUUAAUUGACUUAUCCAAGGUCAUGUUGUGAAUUAUUGUCCUUUUGUUGCUCCAGGUCACUCUUACACAAAAUCUUUUCUCAAGGUUUCUUAGAGUUCAGAGUUCAUAACCCGUCAGUUAUAAUAGUUUGAAAUGCUUCCCUUUAUAACUCAUUGCAUUCGGCGGUAUAUGAUGGGAACCCACAAUGAAUGUACUCCACACUUAUAAGUGAUUUAAAAAAGGUGCCUGCACUUAAAUAUCUUACAUCUUAAUUGGAGAUUUAAGAAGUAUAAAUAUCAACAGGAGAAAUGAAAUGCCUGAUGUAUGUACGUAAAUGCUGAAUGUGAAGAGAAUUCUAGUGAACGGACAUCUUAAGCUUUAUUUUAAAGAAAUUCAUGGCCAGGGAUUUGUAUAAAUAUGUGGAGGGCCAUCAAUGUAUUAGGUAUUGUGAGAUAAAAGUGUGAAAUAAGAUUUGACACCUUAUGAUCUACACCACUGAAGUUUUCUGGAUAGUUGAGUGGCCACUCACAUCAUUGAGAAUAUGCUUAGGACCCAGGAACAAAAUCCAUUUGAAUCUCGGCUCUUUGAAGCACAGCUUCCCCUUGUACCCGGUUCCCUCCUCUCUGAUAUAAAGUGGUCAGAUCAGGGGCGCCUGGGUGGCGCAGUCGGUUAAGCGUCCGACUUCAGCCAGGUCACGAUCUCGCGGUCCGUGAGUUCGAGCCCCGCGUCGGGCUCUGGGCUGAUGGCUCGGAGCCUGGAGCCUGUUUCCGAUUCUGUGUCUCCCUCUCUCUCUGCCCCUCCCCCGUUCAUGCUCUGUCUCUCUCUGUCCCAAAAAUAAAUAAACGUUGAAAAAAAAGUUUAAAAAAAAAAUCCUUAAAGUGGUCAGAUCAGAUGAUCUUUAAGGUCACUACACGUUUUCACCUUCUAUGCUCCCUUGAUUAAUGAAUGACCAAAAACAAAAUGCAAAACACUCCAGAUGUUCUAGCAGAUUUACAUUUGGAUCUGAGAAAAGUCUGGAUGCACCUCAGUCUUUUUAAAUUAUUGUCUGAGUGGUGAAAUACCGCUGAGAAUUUUCUAUGAAAUUCUCCCGCUAGACUCACUGCUUUUGGAGCCGUGCACUGUCGACCUUGUACUUCCAGGACAGAUUCGGGUUAAUUAUCAUGAAGCCCGCUGGGUAGAACCGUAUUUUAGGAUCAGAACAAUCAAACCCAAGUUACACAUGCAUAGCAGUUUAACAGAUGUAACAUAUAUUUGACGAUUCUUAUCAGACUGUUGAGACCCUUUUGUCUGCCUCAGCAUAAUUGUCAAAGGUAAAUAAGCAUGGGGUGUCCCUGUAAACUAUCCUGUGUUUGCUGCUACAAAAUUGUUACUAAGGACACGGUAGCAUUAGUCACCACUGACAGCCCCAAGCCAACAGUAAUCGUUUAACUAGUUCUUGUGAAUGCUAGAGCUCAUAUGUACAGGUAUUAGAUACCAGUGUCUCAAACACAUUCAAACAACCUUGGCCAAGGCAGCUGCUGCCCAGUGGUGUGAACCAAUACUGUUUGAAUGCCAACUGUGGACCAGGAACUAUACUAAGUGUUUUGCACGUAUUAUCUCAUUUAAUACCCUCAAUAAUCAUAUGAGGUAGGUAUUGUUAUUAUCUACAUCAUUCAGAUAAAGAAACUGGAGAUUAGAAAGGUAAGUAGGUUGGGGUGCCUGGGUGGCUCACUGGGUUAAGCGUCUGUCUCUUGAUUUCGGCUCAGAUCAUGAUCUCACAGUAUGUGAGUUCGAGCCCUGUGUCAGGCUCUGUGUUGAUGGCAUAGAGCAGCUUGGGAUUCUGUCUCCCUCUCUCUUUGUCCCCCCUGUGCUUUCUCUCUCUCUCUCUCUUUCUCUCUCUCUCUCUCUCAAAAUAAAUAAAAAUAAACUUUAAAAAAAGAAGAAAAUUAAGUAGUUUGCCUAGGACACAUCUAGAAAACAAUAAAACUGAGGUUUUGAAACCAGUUAGUUUGACCUCAGGGGCAAUACACUGAUUACUAUACAGUAUCGCCUUCUGGCUUGCAACAUUCUACAAAAAAGAUUAUUUUUAAGUUGCUUUGAUAAAUACACUUCACGUAGCAGGAUGCUGUGUGUGCAGGUUCGGGGCUGUGCAUGACGGUGGGGGCGGGGGGGCGGGGGGGAGGGGCGAAUGGUUAAUUUUUAUUGACUUUAGCUAAUUGUACUUCAUUUGCAUCUUUCCCUGAUUUUGGCCGAGUGCACAGUUUGCUGGUCUGCAGUAUCCCUGGAAGCAGAGGAGUUGAUGCAACACUUAGUAUGCACCCUUCCUUCAGAACCUUCACUAACAGACACAUACAUGCAUCAUCCUAACCCAGGUCCGAACAGUGAGUUCAGAAGCCAUUUCCAUUAUUUAAAUUUCUGAUCUGCAGUGUUGUAUGAAAUACCGUUAGGAACUCUGUGCUUGAGGGUCUGUGGAAUAUCAACACACUUCCAAGCCUAAAUCUAAAGCGAUGGUGCUUAAUAAUUUAUAUGACCGCAUUUCCCCCACUCCGCCCCCGCCCCCAGUGUUGUUAAAAAUAAUGAAAUAGAGGACCGACGCUCUCAGAGAAUGUAACAGGCCAAUUUAUGAUUCUAAUUCUCUGUUUGGUCAUCUGAAAUAUACUAUUUUAGCAGCUUUAUACCUUUCACAGGUAUUUCUUCAAAGCAAUUCGUACUUGCAUUACUAUUCCGUAAAUGUUUUGGCUUGAAAGAGAAAAUGUGUCCUUCAAACAAGUUUCUUUCUUUCAGGGCUACUUCUGUAUGUGAAUUCCUCGUGGUGGCUACCCCGUGUUUUCUGUUAUCGUCUUCUCCGCGUUCAAUUCAUUACCCCUGUUCAUUAUUCAAUUUGUUGGGCUUUGAGCACCUGAAUAAUUGAAAGCUAUGCAAGUAUUAUAAAUUAUAUUGUCCACACUCAUAAUCCCCAUUUUAGAGUUUAUAGCUUCACUGUAAAAAUUCACUGUGUUGGAACCUUACAUACAAGGUCUUAUAUUGAAAACAAAUUAAUUUAUAAAUACAUUUUUUUCUUCCCCAAACUCAAUAUUUAUCAAAUCUUAUAUUUUUCAGUUAUGGUUUUUAUGGCUUUUACCACCACAGCAAGACCAAUGAAAAGAAUGUUUUACACGUUCACUAUUUCAUUCUUUUUUGCAGCGGAUAUUUAUGGAAUGACUAUUCUUUUGACAGGAGAAGGCUGGGGCGAGGUCAGCCUGUUCUCUUCCAGAAGAAUUCAAGGCAAAGCAGCCCUUUCAGUGAUGGCCUCUACCUCCUGAUGGCCCGCCAAAAACAAGACAAGUAACAACAAAACCCAAAACAAAUCCUCAGUGGCCCCGUCUCUGUACAGGUUUUGACCCUUGACUCUCCCUGGUCCACUCAGGGCCAUGAGAUUGGAAGAUUCUCUUGCUUCCCGUGGGCAGGUAGCGUUUCUUUUUUGUUUUUUUUUUGUUUUUUGCCCUGCAAAUGAACAAUGACAUACAUGUUUCAAUGAGAGUAACAGACCUGUGCUUUAAAACUUUAAAAAGAUGGGGUGCCCGGGUGGCUCAGUCAGUUAAGCAACCGACUUCAGCUCAGGUCCUGAUCUUGCAGACUGUGGGUUCAAGCCCCGCAUAGGGCUCUGUGCUGACAGCUUGGAGCCUGGAGCCUGCUUUGGAUUCUGGGUCUCCCUCUCUUUCUGCCCCUCCCCUGCUUCACUCUGUCUCUGUCUCUCUCUCUCUCUCAAAUAAAUAAAUAAAUAAAUAAAUAAAUAAAUAAAUAAACAUUUAACAAAAUUUAAAAAGAAACUUUAAAAAGAAAAGAGUAUGUGGGGAAAUAAUGUGGGAGUAGAGAAUAAUGCUCCUACCUGGAAAGUGCCAGAGCAGGAAAAAAAUCUGUAGGAAAGUCUUGUGGAUGCAAAUCUAGUAGGGGUUUAAAUUUCAUCAAGACUGCCUCUGCAUUGCUAGAUUGAUUAAUCGAUUGAUCGGUUAGCCACAAUAAAAUAGCUUUACUAUUCCCCCCCCCCAUUGCAGUACUCACCAUUCUUCUUGUAAAAGCUGAAACAAUGGAUGAAGGCAUAGAGUAGGAAGUGAAAAUCACUUCCAAAUGAGUUUAUUGGGCAUUAUUUCCGAGCACAUAUUCCAUAGCACUCGGGCCUGGAUAAACAGUGGUGACCAGUACAGAUGUGGUUCCUACACUUGGCCGGCAUAAAAUCGGUCAAAGACACAAAUAAUAAACAAGAAAGCAAACAAAUGAGUAUAUAUUACACUCUUAUGAAGGCUGAGAACAGAGAAUCAUGGUGGAAAAUCAACAGAAGAGGCAUUACCUAGGUCAGGCUGCUAAAGACAGUCUCUCCGAGGGAGCGAUCGGCCUUGCAAGAGAGAGCAAGAGACUUCUAAACUGUUUGCAAUGUUUGUGUUCAGACAUUUUUAUUUUUUACAAAACUAUAGACACAUACUGUUUUACAACUUGCCUUCUCAAUAUAACACUGUUAAUGUAAAUCUUCCAGGUAAAUAAA
rnacentral:lncRNA from 1 species